rnacentral:rRNA from 1 species
GAGAGUUAAACAGUACGUGAAAUUGUUGAAAGGGAAACGAUUGAAGUCAGUCAUACCAACGGGAAAUCAACCUCUUGAGUUUGGUCUUGUGGGUUUCGAAGAGUUUAAAAGCCUUCGGAUUUGCGAGGAUUGGGCUCUUUUGGUGUACUUUCUCGUACGGUUAGUCAACAUCGGUUUUGAAUGUCAUAAAAUGACUGGAGGAAUGUGGCUUCGAUCUCGUAUUGAAGUGUUAUAGCCUUUGGUAGAUGUGAUGUUCGAGACCGAGGAUUGCAAUGGAUACCCUUCUGGGCUAUUCGUCUGAUCUCUGAUACGUUGCCUUGAUGUCGAAAGCUCGCUUAUGAUGUUAGGGUAUUACGGUCAAAAGGUUAGAACGGAUUAAAUUCGUUAAGGAUGUUGACGUAAUGACUUUAAACGA